CUUGAACGCUGGCGGCAGGCCUAACACAUGCAAGUCGAGCGGAUGAAGGGAGCUUGCUCCUGAUUCAGCGGCGGACGGGUGAGUAAUGCCUAGGAAUCUGCCUGGUAGUGGGGGAUAACGUUUCGAAAGGAACGCUAAUACCGCAUACGUCCUACGGGAGAAAGUCGGGGAUCUUCGGACCUCACGCUAUCAGAUGAGCCUAGGUCGGAUUAGCUAGUUGGUGGGGUAAUGGCCCACCAAGGCGACGAUCCGUAACUGGUCUGAGAGGAUGAUCAGUCACACUGGAACUGAGACACGGUCCAGACUCCUACGGGAGGCAGCAGUGGGGAAUAUUGGACAAUGGGCGAAAGCCUGAUCCAGCCAUGCCGCGUGUGUGAAGAAGGUCUUCGGAUUGUAAAGCACUUUAAGUUGGGAGGAAGGGCAGUAAGUUAAUACCUUGCUGUUUUGACGUUACCAACAGAAUAAGCACCGGCUAACUUCGUGCCAGCAGCCGCGGUAAUACGAAGGGUGCAAGCGUUAAUCGGAAUUACUGGGCGUAAAGCGCGCGUAGGUGGUUCAGCAAGUUGGAUGUGCAAGCCCCGGGCUCAACCUGGGAAUUGCAUCCAAAACUACUGAGCUAGAGUACGGUAGAGGGUGGUGGAAUUUCCUGUGUAGCGGUGAAAUGCGUAGAUAUAGGAAGGAACACCAGUGGCGAAGGCGACCACCUGGACUGAUACUGACACUGAGGUGCGAAAGCGUGGGGAGCAAACAGGAUUAGAUCCCCUGGUAGUCCACGCCG
rnacentral:rRNA from 1 species